AACUUGAAAAGGGGAGUGUGUGUGUGUGUGUGUGUGUGUGUGUGUGUGUGUAUGUGUGUGAAAAAUUGUCCUCAUUGGGCUGUGUGAGCCAAAAAGAUGCCCUCUAUUCCUCAUCCUUGAAUGGCCUUGUCAGCUCACUGUCUCGAUUUUCUGCAAUGCCCAAGCGAUUUUGCUUUUUCUAGGCUGGAAUUGUCUUUGACAGCAAAGUUUUCUUGGGGUCGGCCAGGGAGUCAAUUUUGGGGGAGGCAGGGAAUGUUUGGGGGAGUUGUUUUGUUCAUGUCUUUAACCCGUGACCUCUUGCAGGAAAGAAUCUGUUUGGAAUGUUUUUAAAUUGGUAUUUUGCAGGGGGCUUUUAUAAGGCAGCUUCUUGCAGGCUGUUCAGAAGCACCAAAAUGCAUUUUGUAGCAGGAGUUGACACUUAAGCAAUCAGAAUAGCCUGCUUAAUAGCAGUUGAAACGAUGGCCUUGCAACUCAUAGAAUAGCAACAUCUCUCUCUGCGUGUGCAUCUUACCUUCAUCUAUGAUUAAUUAAUUUGGAGCAAUGAACAAGCCCAUUUGUACUUCAGUUGAAAGGGUGGGAAAAUGCAGCCUUUCAUCACCCUGACUGUGAGGGUGAUGGGCUCUGCAAAUUAAAAGGGUAACUAAUUUGGUGUUAAGUAAUCUUGUAUGCCCACUUUGAGGACUUGGCUAUUCAAAUCAGGAGCUGAGGCACAAGGCAGUAGUCAGGAGCAAAGCGUAAGUCAGUUGAGAAGCAAGCCCAAAGUCUGCUUUUGUUGCUGCUUUUUAAAUGAAUAUUUCGUACCAUUUUAUGUAAACUGCUUAGAGACUUUUAAAAAAGUAACUGGUAUGUAAAUCUUGCUAAAUAGAAAUAAAGGUAAGGUCCAGUGAACAAGAUCUUUUCAGCACAAGCAGAGACCUUGUUGUUCUCCAGGCCUUUUAAUUGAGGUAGUUUAGGCUUUUAAUUCUUAAAUAUGUUUUUGUUUUUUUUUUAGGGGGAGGCAGUGAGUUCUAUUUUAUCAUAUUUAUGUGAUCCCCAUCUUUUUCUUUUUUUUAUGUUUUCCUUUGUAUUUCAGUGGGUUUUUAAGGAACUUAUUUUACUUAUUUAUUGCAGCUUGUCCAAAGAACCUUCUGUUAUGGGUUGGUGUAUAAACCACAGACUUGUAGAGUUGGAAAGGACCAUGAGGGUCAUCUAGUCCAACCCCUGCCAUGAAAGAAUAUUUUGGGUGAUGUGGGUCUCGAACUCACGUCCCUGAGAUUAAGCGUCUUAUGCUCUAUCUACUGAGCCAACCCAGCAAUGUCAAAAUAAAGUCAUGCCCUGCAUUCCAGAGGACAGCCUCUUAUUUGAUGGGCUUUCUGGUUCAAGUACAGUUUAGAGAACCAGAAGAAGGGAGAGCAGGGUGGCAUGGGGGAGGGGCUUGAAGUUGUCAGUCAAAUGGAAGCACCUGGGUAGCACACUGAGCAGAUGCACUCAGGUCACCUGGUUACAGGCUUCCCCCGUUAUGGAGAGAUGUAUUUCUGUUUAAAUUUCAGCAACUCUAAAUGUGCAUCCAGACAUAUAAAUUGGCACAUGCAAAUGUUAUGCAGAUCUGUGCUCUCUUUUUUGAUGCUGGAUAUUUCCUCUCUCUUUUUUUGCCAAAGGAUAUUUCUCCCCCCAACGGAGCAACAGUCCCUCCUCCUAUUUCCUCCAAGCUCUUUUAAAGAUCCAAAGGCUGUUAACUUGCUCUGACGUUCUGAAGCAGAGCUUAGGCUUCAGAUGGCAUCUCCAUCUCCCCUUGUUUACAGAAGGCAAUUUUGCUGCUGCGGGACCUUUUGUCGGGUUUCCAUUUCAUAAAACGGCUUGCAGGUCAGGAAUUUGAUGCUUUGUCAAUAACUGGCAAGGCCAGCACUUGAUGGGAAGUGCUGGGAAGCUACAGAGUCACAGAGGUGGCGGUGUACCAUUUUGCUUUUUCCAAUUCUCCAUCUCUGGCUGCUUACACACCAUAAGUUUAAAGCACUCUCCCAAUUUUUUCCCCCCCUGGGAGCUGUAUUUUGCUAAAGGUGCUGGGCAUUGUAUAUUUGUAAGGGAUAAACUACAGUUCGAAGGAUUCCUCUCUCUCUCUGUCUCUCUCUCUCUCUCUCUGUGUGUGUGUGUGUGCGCUUUACCAAUCAGUCAAUCAAUGUUUUUUACAGCAAACAGCCAACAUAUUUAAACCAGAAUGUCUGCAUAAUUCUCUACAUAAACAAUAAAUACCAUCAAUCUGGGGUUUAACAACCAGUAUACUAAUUAAGUGUAUUUAAAAUACAUACAUGGGACACGGGUGGCACUGUGGUCUAAACAACUGACCCUAGGGCUUGCUGAUCGGAAGGUUGGCGGUUCGAAUCCCCACGACGGUGUGAGCUCCCGUUGCUCGGUCCCAGCUCCUGCCAACCUAGCAGUUCGAAAGUACGUCAAAGUGCAAGUAGAUAAAUAGGUAACACUCUGGGGGGGAAGGUAAACGGCGUUUCCGUGCACUGCUCUGGUUCGCCAGAAGCGGCUUAGUCAUGCUGGCCACAUGACCCGGAAAAACUGUCUGCGGACAAACGUCGGCUCCCUCGGCCAGUAAAGCAAGAUGAGCGCUGCAACCCCAGAGUCAUUCGUGACUGGACUUAACUGUUAGGGGUCCUUUAUCUUUACCUUUAAAAUACAUAAUCAGAGGAAUAAAACACCAUACAAGUUUAAAAGAUCAAGAGAUUUAGCUAAGAACUGUAGCAGUUCGUGACGAUUUAUGUAGCUGUUUAAUCUUUUGCUUUCUUUGACUUAUGGCUAUUGCACAAAAUCUUGCUACAUUUCUAGUAACAUAUGAAUUCCAGUCAGACAAGAGGUAUUUUAAAUAGUAUUCUUCCAUCCUCACUGGCACUUUUCGUACCAGAGGAGUUAUGAGGGAGGCUCUGGAAUCUGAAUGAAAUCUACAAUGAAAGAGAACAUGGCCCACUGUUUCUGUUUGACUGCUCUGACAUGGACAGCUCCGCUCACUGUGAGGAAUUUUUCUGUAUCUCCCAUCCAAUGGAGCAGAUGGCAUGACAUUAAAUUCGGCUUGCGU